UUGAUCUCAAAUCAGGUAGGAUUACCCGCUGAACUUAAGCAUAUCA
rnacentral:rRNA from 1 species